rnacentral:rRNA from 1 species
CCUACGGGUGGCUGCAGUGAGGAAUAUUGGUCAAUGGGCGCGAGCCUGAACCAGCCAAGUCGCGUGAAGGAUGAAUGUUCUAUGGGUCGUAAACCUCUUUUAUAAGGGAAUAAAGUGAGGCACGUGUCCUUUUUUGUAUGUACCUUAUGAAUAAGGAUCGGCUAACUCCGUGCCAGCAGCCGCGGUAAUACGGAGGAUCCGAGCGUUAUCCGGAUUUAUUGGGUUUAAAGGGUGCGUAGGUGGUGUUUUAAGUCAGUUGUGAAAGUCUGCGGCUCAACCGUAAAAUUGCAAUUGAUACUGGCAGGCUUGAGUACAGUUGAGGUAGGCGGAAUUCGUGGUGUAGCGG